rnacentral:rRNA from 1 species
AGUCAUAUGCUUGUCUCAAAGACUAAGCCAUGCAUGUCUAAGUAUAAAUGAUAUACAGUGAAACUGCGAAUGGCUCAUUAAAACAGUUAUAGUUUAUUUGGUAAUCGAAUUUACAUGGAUAACCGUGGUAAUUCUAGAGCUAAUACAUGCUGUAAAGCCCGACUUCACGGAAGGGCCGUAUUUAUUAGAUAACAGACCAAUAUUCCUCGUGUCUAUUGUGGUGAAUCAUAGUAACUAAUCGGAUCGCAUGGGCUAGUCCCGCGACAAACCAUUCAAGUUUCUGCCCCAUCAGCUUUCGAUGGUAGUGUAUUGGACUGCCAUGGCUUUUACGGGUAACGGAGGAUUAGGGUUCGAUUCCGGAGAGGGAGCCUGAGAAACGGCUACCACAUCUAAGGAAGGCAGCAGGCGCGUAAAUUACCCAAUCCUAAUUCAGGGAGGUAGUGACAAGAAAUAACGGGUCGGGGCUAUGCCCCGGGACUGCAAUGAGAUGAAUUUACACCCCUUUUCGAGUAACAAU